AAUCUAAACUUUAGAAAUAAGGCAUGAUGAAAAACCAGUAACGAAUAGAGAUCCCAUCUCUAUAGGGCUAUCGUUACUGGUCUCUGCGGGAAACUGCAGAUGGAUGGCCGAAAGGCUGUC
rnacentral:sRNA from 1 species